CCUACGGGAGGCAGCAGUGGGGGAUAUUGCACAAUGGGGGGAACCCUGAUGCAGCGACGCCGCGUGGGUGAAGGAGCGUUUCGGCGCGUAAAGCCCUAUCGGCAGGGAAGAAGAUGACGGUACCUGACCAAGAAGCCCCGGCUAACUACGUGCCAGCAGCCGCGGUAAUACGUAGGGGGCAAGCGUUAUCCGGAUUCACGGGGUGUAAAGGGAGCGUAGACGGCGAGACAAGUCUGGAGUGAAAGGCCGGGGCCAAACCCCGGGACUGCUCUGGAAACUGCCUGGCUGGAGUACAGGAGAGGUAAGUGGAAUUCCUAGUGUAGCGGUGAAAUGCGUAGAUAUUAGGAGGAACACCAGUGGCGAAGGCGGCUUACUGGACUGUAACUGACGUUGAGGCUCGAAAGCGUGGGGAGCAAACAGGAUUAGAUACCCGAGUAGUC
rnacentral:rRNA from 1 species